AUUGAACGCUGGCGGCAUGCUUUACACAUGCAAGUCGAACGGUAACAGGCCGCAAGGUGCUGACGAGUGGCGAACGGGUGAGUAAUGCAUCGGAACGUGCCCAGUCGUGGGGGAUAACGCAGCGAAAGCUGUGCUAAUACCGCAUACUAUCUAUGGAUGAAAGCGGGGGAACGUAAGGCCUCGCGCGAUUGGAGCGGCCGAUGUCAGAGUAGGUAGUUGGUGGGGUAAAGGCCUACCAAGCCGACGAUCUGUAGCUGGUCUGAGAGGACGACCAGCCACACUGGGACUGAGACACGGCCCAGACUCCUACGGGAGGCAGCAGUGGGGAAUUUUGGACAAUGGGCGCAAGCCUGAUCCAGCAAUGCCGCGUGCAGGAAGAAGGCCUUCGGGUUGUAAACUGCUUUUGUACGGAAUGAAACGGUCUGGGUUAAUACCCUGGGCUAAUGACGGUACCGUAAGAAUAAGCACCGGCUAACUACGCGCCAGCAGCCGCAGUAACAC
rnacentral:rRNA from 1 species